CGGCAACAGCUCAAAUUUGAAAUCUGGCCCUAGGCCCGAGUUGUAAUUUGCAGAGGAUGCUUUUGGUGCGGUGCCUUCCAAGUUCCCUAGAACGGGACGCCAGAGAGGGUGAGAGCCCCGUACAGUUGGACACCAAGCCUUUGUAAAGCUCCUUCGAC
rnacentral:rRNA from 1 species